rnacentral:rRNA from 1 species
UGGCGGACGGGUGAGUAAUGUCUGGGAAACCGCCUGAUGAGGGGGAUAACUACUGGAAACGGUAGCUAAUACCGCAUAACGUCGCAAGACCAAAGAGGGGGACCUUCGGGCCUCUUGCCAUCGGAUGUGCCCAGAUGGGAUUAGCUAGUAGGUGGGGUAACGGCUCACCUAGGCGACGAUCCCUAGCUGGUCUGAGAGGAUGACCAGCCACACUGGAACUGAGACACGGUCCAG